UCAGCUGUGGGGCCACUGAAGACGGGAUCCGUGAUGACCUCCACCAUGGGCUGGUCCCCACUCCUCUUGACCCUCCUAGCUCACUGCACAGGUUCCUGGGCCCAGUCUGUGCUGACUCAGCCGGCCUCAGUGUCUGGGUCCCUGGGCCAGAGGGUCACCAUCUCCUGCACUGGAAGCAGCUCCAACAUCGGUAGAUAUUCUGUGAGCUGGCUCCAGCAGCUCCCGGGAACAGGCCCCAGAACCGUCAUCUAUAGUAGUAGUAACCGACCCUCAGGGGUCCCCGAUCGAUUCUCUGGCUCCAAGUCAGGCAGCACAGCCACCCUGACCAUCUCUGGGCUCCAGGCUGAGGAUGAGGCUGAUUAUUACUGCUCAACAUAUGACAACAGUCUCAAUGCUGGCACAGUGCUCCAGGCCUGUGAGGAAGUGAGACAAAAACCUACUUACCCGACGGCAAAGCCUCUGCUCUCAGGACAGGCCAAGGCUCACUGCGUCCUAGGUAUGAGGCACAAAGCUGUGGGGAUGCUGGUGUCCUGGGCCCAGGCUGUGCUGACUCAGCCACCCUCAGUGUCUGCGGCCCUGGGACAGAGGAUCACCAUCUCCUGCACUGGAAGCAGCACCAACAUCAGCAGUGGUUAUGAUGUACAAUGGUACCAGCAGCUCCCAGGAAAGUCCCCUAAAACUAUCAUCUACGGUGAUAACAAUCGACCCUCGGGUGUCCCAGAUUGA